rnacentral:rRNA from 2 species
AUACCGGCAGCCCGAGUGAUAGCCACUAUUAUUGGGCCUAAAGCGUCCGUAGCCGGCCGAACGGGUCCGUCGGGAAAUCCACUCGCUCAACGAGUGGACGUCCGGCGGAAACCAGUCGGCUUGGGGCCGGGAGACCAGAGAGGUACGUCCGGGGUAGGAGUGAAAUCCCGUAAUCCUGGACGGACCGCCGGUAGCGAAAGCGUCUCUGGAGAACGGACCCGACGGUGAGGGACGAAAGCUGGGGUCUCGAACCGGAUUAGAUACCCGGGUAGUCCAAGCUGUAAACGAUGCUCGCUAGGUGUGGCGUUGGCUACGAGCCAGCGCUGUGCCGUAGGGAAGCCGAGAAGCGAGCCGCCUGGGAAGUACGUCCGCAAGGAUGAA